rnacentral:sRNA from 1 species
AAAAUGAUGGCACUGCCGGAGUGUUUGCCAAAUUUGCUGCAUCCAAGUGCCAUAGUAGAAUAAGUCGAGCCUGCCGAUCCACGUGGAUCUGCUUUUGCCCCAAGUUUGUUCCAUGUUUGAAUAGAACAUGAGUGUGCUAUAUCGAUUUGAAUUGUUGUCGACCAGUGUUCACUCGCAUAUGCGGUCUGACAAAUGAUAGACCCGCGAGCAGGAGGAUGUUUGGCUUUUGCUUGUACAGUUUAUGAGCUUUUGGGUGGCGGUCAAGUCUUUGUCGGGUCCUUGGCAAAUGAUACAAUGCAUAGUCUGGUUUUGACUU